GAUGAAGAACGUAGCGAAAUGCGAUACUUGGUGUGAAUUGCAGAAUCCCGUGAACCAUCGAGUCUUUGAACGCAAGUUGCGCCUCAAGCCAUUAGGUUGAGGGCACGUCUGCCUGGGCGUCACAUAUCGUUGCCUGAUGCCAGUUUCCUCGUGAUGGGUGACUGUGCAGGGCGAAUGAUGGCUUCCCGUGAGCAUUGUUGCCUCAUGGUUGGUUGAAAAUUGAGUCCUUUGUAGGGAGCGCCGUGAUAGAUGGUGGUUGAGUGACGAACGAGACCCAAUCAUGUGAGACCCCUACCGAAUUUGGCCUUCAUGACCCACAUGCGUCUUUGGAACGCUCAUGACGAGACCUCAGGUCAGGCGGGGCUACCCGCUGAGUUUAAGCAUAUCAAUAAGCGGAGGA
rnacentral:misc_RNA from 1 species